GACGAACGCUGGCGGCGUGCCUAAUACAUGCAAGUAGAACGCUGAAGGAGGAGCUUGCUCUUCUGGAUGAGUUGCGAACGGGUGAGUAACGCGUAGGUAACCUGCCUGGUAGCGGGGGAUAACUAUUGGAAACGAUAGCUAAUACCGCAUAACAGUAGAUGUUGCAUGACAUUUACUUAAAAGGUGCAAUUGCAUCACUACCAGAUGGACCUGCGUUGUAUUAGCUAGUUGGUGGGGUAACGGCUCACCAAGGCGACGAUACAUAGCCGACCUGAGAGGGUGAUCGGCCCCACUGGGACUGGGACACGGCCCAGACUCCUACGGGAGGCAGCAGUAGGGAAUCUUCGGCAAUGGACGGAAGUCUGAACGAGCAACGCCGCGUGAGUGAAGAAGGUUCUCGGAUCGUAAAGCUCUGUUGUAAGAGAAGAAAGAGUGUGAGAGUGGAAAGUUCACACUGUGACGGUAUCUUACCAGAAAGGGACGGCUAACUACGUG
rnacentral:rRNA from 1 species